AUGCACUCAACCAAAAACAGGUGGUAUCUGCCUCUGCCUCUAAGAUAUGUUGACUUGCACUGGCUAUGAACAACAUCCUCCUCAGUAGAAUAGAGAGCCUGCUACUUAUAUGGGUUGCCCUCAGUGACCCUGAUGAUAACC